CCCUCCGGUCGUUAACACCCCAGAUGGAAGCCCCGGAGCACAGGCCUCAGACGCCCGUCAAGGCCCUGGAGCGGAGGUGGAGCCGGCCAGGCCCAGCGCUCCCGUGUCAGACCCGACGCCGACCCUGGCGACUCCUCGAUCCCAGGAGUCUCUGACGGGAGCCCGCUCCUCAGGAGGCCGCGCCGCGGAGGAGCCGCUGACAGGACAGCCUCUGCUGAUAGGACGGCCGCCGCCGAAACUCAUCUGCAAGACUUCUGUUGCCCUGAGAUCACCUCCGUUCAUCACCACGCAUUCUGGAAUUAAAGUUCCUUUCAGCACGCAGAGGAGCACUUCCAAACGAAGCAAAAGGCAUGAGCAACGCAGCGGUGUGCUUUCGGGACAUGUUUGCCAAGCACUCAGCUUAAAAACAGCUCGUCUCUAGUCUCUGAGGAUACAGUGAUGCGUUUCCCACGGUCCUGCGCCCUGUAGUGCUGGGAAAGACUCACCACCAACUAUCCCAAAACAAAACAAAGCAGAAACAAUUGUCUACUGUCAGACAGUGAUGGCAGGGAGGACGGAAAUUAAGAAGAACAAUGGAGAUAGUGAUGGUCCAGGCCAUGGCUGUCCGUCAGAAAACCCACAAUUGGACAUUGUUCAAACCACAGGGCCACACUGGGCCAUCCAGGUGGCGGCUGGGAGGGUCCUGCCCAGGGUGCUGGCCUGAGGUGCUACGUUGGGAGUGAAGGGGGGAAACAAGGAGGAUGGAAAGGACACGUCGCAGAACCCAGGACGGAUGUGACCUCGACCGCUGACGCCUGACCUGGAGGGCGAGGAGCCCCGGCCCACCUUACUAUGCUGAAGUUCUAGCCCUUAGAAGCUCAGAAUGUGGCUGUACUUGGAGAUGAGGUCUUUACAGAGGUGAUGAAGGUGAAAUGAGGUUAAGUGGGUGGGUCCUCAUCCCCAAGGACUGGUGUCCUUGUAAGAAGAGGAGAUCAGGACACAGACACGCGCAGAGGGGAGGCCAUGAGAUGACUCGGGGAGGAGAUGGCCGUCUGCACGCCCAGGAGAGAGGCCUCCGAAGAAACCAGCCCUGCCCACACCCUGCCCGUGGACUUCCCGCCCCCAGGCUGUGAGAAACACCGUCUGCGGAGCUGGCGGGGACGAGCACGGCAGUGACACUCGACUCUCUCCGCACUUUGUUCUGUAAUUUAUCUCCGUAUAUCAUUCCAUUUAUCAAGGAGGCAUUUUUUUAUCGAAGCAUAAUUUCCAGUGUACAGCAUCACGCUUCAGUUGUACGUAUACAGAUGUAUAGUUGACACGUGUGAAUACUAACUACGUAUGUAAGACAGAUAAACAACAAGCGCCUUCUGUACAGCACGGGGAACUGCAUCUGGUAUCUUCUGUAAUCAGUUAAGCAGUAAUAAAUAUUUUCCAUGGCUACUUUUACUAUAGAAGAGACAGUUAUGCCUCACCCUCCCUCAUCCCCCAGCCCUCACCCCACCAUUCUAACAGAGGGUAAUCCAGCCCUAGCUGAAGCCAACGCUCACUUGACCCCCUUGGAGUUAAUAAUUUUCCCCCUUUCUUCCCUCUGCACCUGUUAGCAUUUCUGCCGCACUCUCCACGGUGAAGUCCCUCCCAAUGUCCCGCAGAUGCAGCCAGCACGGCAGGCAGCCACAUCUCGGUUCCUUCCUGGGGCCCCUGGAGACCUGGCCAGUCCAGACUGGCUCCUCCGGGGACUUGCUUCUCAGACGCCCUUUGAACUUGGCUCCUGUGUUGGGUGCUGUGUCCAGGAUUCUGUUUCCUCCUCACAGCUCACUCCCUCGUUUACUGCAGCAGGAUUCUCAGCCAUUUCAUGAGAAGGGUACGGGGGAGACAUCUUUUUGAGAUCUCUCAUAUCUUAAAAUGCAGUUAUUCCAUGCACACCGUUGAUUGAUAUUUUUGCGAGGGGGAAAUUCUGAACUGGAAAAUCACGCCCUUCCCCAGUUUUGAGGGCUUGCCGCGUUUUCUUCCGGCGGCCAGGACGGCUGUUAGGAGUCCGGGCUGUCCUGGUGUCUGAUCGUCGAGCAUGCGCACUGUCCUUCCGCGGGUUUCCGCCUGGUCUCCUGACCUGGCCUGUGUUCAUUCAGCCUCCUAGAUUCUUGAUGUGCAGCUUCUGCUUGGAAAACAGAAUAUUUUAGUGUGAAGAAAUACCCUCUGAUUUUGAUAGUAACUGGUAAGUCCGUACGCCCCGUUUCUCGGAUCUGUCUUUCUGAAAGUCCUGUUAAUUGGAAAAUGAGCCCCCUGGACUGAGGUCUGAAUUUUUCAUAUUUUCUUUCUUAUCACUCUCCCUAUUAUUUGACAGCAUCUAGUAUUUCGUGAGAGAUUUCCUUAUUUGCAUCUUCAGUGUUCCAUAGUUGUGCUAAAUGGCAGUUCUAUUUUACUCCCUAAGAGCUCUGUUAUUUUCUCACCGCAGAGGUUCUUUCAUGCUAUUUCUUUUCUGUUGUAUAAAUUCAGUUCUUUCUCUUGUCUCUCUGGGGAUGUUUGAUAUGCUUUCUAAAAGUUAUUCUGUCAUAUUUGUUUUUUUUUGCAUUUUAUAUAUUUUGAGGCUUUAUCAUUAGCUGUAAAGACAACCUGAAUUGUUAUGUCAACCUUGGACCACAACACGUCUGCUGGUACUUCCUGACUCACAUUCCAGCUUGUCUGAUAUUGGUACACUUGCCCCAGUGGUCUUGUAUGAAGACCUUUUUCUGUCCUUUUCUCUCAACCUUCCUAUGUGUUUAUACUUACAAGUCUUCCACGUAGGGCAUCCAGGUGGGUUUUAGACACAGUGACAGUCAUUAUCUUGUCUAUCAAAAACUGACAUAAACAACAGGUGUACAAGCAGGUAUACAAAUCACGCGUCGCCCUGGAGCAGUAAUCUUAGAGUCAUCCCUGCCUAGGACCUGUCCUCUCGUCCCCGGUCUUGGUCUGCCCCAUACUGAAAUGUCACCUCCGUUUCAGCGUCUGUGGACGCCAGAGUGUGCAGGACCUGUGGACACGAGCCAGGGCUUGAGUUUCCUUUUCAGUGGAAAGGGGAGUGUUGGAAAGCUCUGCUACUCCGUCGCUCCAGCUGCUGUACUGCGGAGAGGAUGCAAGUGGAGGAGGGUAAGGGCAAGGGACCACUCCGCCCCACUGCAGUGAUCAGGAGCGGAGGGGUGCUGGCCGGUGUCCAGUGGUACCAAGGAGCAUGGGAGGGAGAUGACAGAUUCGGGAUAUACCUUAAACAUGGAGUCAGCUAAAUUUGAUAUUGGACUGGAUUUGCAAUGCGAUGGAAAGAGAGGAAUUGGGGAGUGUUUUCAAGGUUUUCACUCUGAGAAAAUGGAAGGGUGAAGACCCCACUCACUGAGUGGCAAAGACCAAGUGAAGAGACUGGGAAGUUAGGAUUUCAACUCCAGGUGCGUCAAGCCGUAUUGAGCGUCUGAAACUUCUAGGGAAGUCGCCGUUGGUCUCUGAUGAGUCUGCUGGAUGAGUCUGGAGUCCGUGAAAAAGAUCAGGAGUAAACAUACAAACCUGGAGGUUGUUCAUGUAUAACCACAGACUGGACUGCUCCUCAAAGGAGUGGAGAUGAGAGAGGAGAAGCAGCAAGGGAGGAACUUGGGACAUCCGCCUUAGGAGUCCAAAACAGAGCCAGAAAGUGUGUUUUCCUGGAAGCCAAGUGAGAAACUAUUGACAAAGAACUGAGUUACCAACCAUAUCAAAUAUUGAUAGGGUAAGAGCGGGCACUGACCCCCGACUUCAUGACAGUGAGGGUCGAGGGAGGCUGACGAAGCCUGUGGUUCUGGAGUGGGGGUGGGGCGCCAGUCUGAGCAGAAGGAUUUACUAAGAAGAGGAGACCCCGAGCGGGGGUUUGGCUGCCGAGACGAGCAAAGAAAUGUGGCGUGAAGAAGAGGCAGUGGGUUAAGGGAAGAUUUUAUCCUUGCUGGUUUUGCUUUCAUUUUCUUUUCUUUCGUUCUUUUCCUUUCCUUUCUUUGUGGUUGGGCUACACGAUUUUUUAAACAAAUACAUUGCAAUUUUAGAUUUGGAGGGGAAGUUAUGACUCAGAAUUGUUCAAGUUGCAGAAAUUUUGUGAUCAAUGCCAGAUUAACACGGAGGCCCGAGAAAGUAGGAAAUACACGUGAAAGAGCUUUAACGCAGAUUCAUGGUUGUUCACUACUAAGCUCCAGGGAAAUAACCUAGUGUGAUGAGUUUAAAUGUAUCUGAAUCACCUGAAAUAAAACGCUAUACA